rnacentral:rRNA from 1 species
GCCAAAGGUGUUUUGCAGUUUAAAAAGCUCGUAGUUGGAUUUCGGGUGGGGUGGUGCGGUCCGCCUCUGGUGUGCACUGCUCCGCUCCACCUUCCUGCCGGGGACGGGCUCCUGGGCUUCACUGUCUGGGACUCGGAGUCGGCGAGGUUACUUUGAGUAAAUUAGAGUGUUCAAAGCAGGCCUACGCUCUGAAUACAUUAGCAUGGAAUAACACGAUAGGACUCUGGCCUAUCUGUUGGUCUGUGGGACCGGAGUAAUGAUUAAGAGGGGUAGUCGGGGGCAUUCGUAUUCCGUUGUCAGAGGUGAAAUUCUUGGAUUUACGGAAGACGAACAUCUGCGAAAGCAUUUGCCAAGGAUACUUUCAUUGAUCAAGAACGAAAGUUGGGGGCUCGAAG